rnacentral:rRNA from 1 species
ACCAUGCGAAGGUAUUGAAAUAAGAUUUUAAAUGAGUGCUAAGAGAAUGGAUUAAUGGAGAUAAGCUUUUUUUAGAAAAAAAAUUGAAUUUAAAAUAAAAAUAAAAAUGUUUUUAUAUUUAUAUUAGACAAGAAGACCCUAAAAUCUUACAUUAUUAAAAGUAAUUUUAAUUGGGGCAAUUAAAAAAUAAAAAGUAAUUUUAUUAAGAAAGUUUUUUAAAAAAUUGACAAGAUACUUUAGGGAUAACAGCGUAAUUAUUAUGGAGAGUUCAUAUUGAUAUAAAAGUUUGCGACCUCG